GUGUGUGUGUGUUUGUGUGUGUGAGCGAGCGAGCGAGCGAGCGUGAGAGAGAGAGGGAGAGCCGCCUUCAUUCCGCCACUUCUCAGUAUCCAGUCUCUGAGACGAUAUGUUCCAGUGAGGAGCUACCAGACGAAGCAAAUUAGAAGAGAAAACAAAAAUAGCAGAUGCGGGAAAUGAAGGGAAAUAUUACACAAGUGGAGUUAGCUGUCCGCUUUCGUCUCUGAUAGGCUGGCGAGAGGUGUCUGAAAGUUUGCAGUCUUGGGGGACCUCGCUUCCCCUAGCACCCCCCCUGCCCCCGCACCCCCCCCCCUCCCCCCACCGGUGGACUGAAUAGAGGACAGAGCCUGUCUUCGAGGUGAGGAGAGCACAGACUGCCCGUAGACACUCGCGGGGGAGCCAGUGUGCACAAGGAGUGUGCUCCCUCAGUGGAACUCGCACUUUAUCGCCGCCUUUGCCCGGUCUGCCUGCAACGCGGGGGGGGUGGAGAAGAUCCAAUCAGCGUUUGGGUUUAAUAAGGUGGAAUACCAGGUGGACGCAACAGAAAAGAUACGGCGCAACCAGGGAAAUAAAGGAGAGGAGCAGCUCACCGCUUCGGUCAACCAACCCUGUGGACUAUAGGAUCCUAGAUGGCUUUUCAAGACUGACUGUUCCGCGGCAAUUCGUCUUCUGUAGCCAGAAAGGAACCAUGUCGUCCUCCCAUGUUUUGAUAUGGUCCCUGCCCUCUUGAAGGAGACUCAAGGUCCCACUGUUCAACAAGACCAGGGCUAAACUAAGUUUCGUUCCAUCCGCCGUCGGCCUGUUGAACGCUGGGCCGUUGGACAGACACUGGCUCCAUGCGUACAGUAGUUAGGUAUGUGACUUUACCACGGUACCU
rnacentral:lncRNA from 1 species